GGCCGAGCUGCCCGGCUGGCGGGGCGGGGGGAGGUUUCCUCUCAGGCGGCGGCGGGGCUGUGCGGUGGGGGUGGGCUACGAGGGGGCCUUUGCUGAGACUUCUGAAUCGCACGCACCCAGAGCCGUCAGGGCCUGUCCCCUCGGCGGCAGCAGGGCCUCGACUGCCACGGGAAGGCGCCCUGUCCUCGCCCGCCCGCCCCGCGGCCUGCACUCGCCUGCCCGCCUCGCCGUCUGCAGUGCCCGGGCUUUGCCGGUCUGGCAGGAAGAUAUAUGGUCUUUCUGUAAUGCUGGCAACAGAUGCUAUAAGGCUGCUAGUGAUGGCUACGUACUUUUCUUCUUUAUUGCUGAAAGGGGCUGAAGCAUUUAGACUGAGUCGGCUGAUCAGGCCAAACAACACAAUAUCAUAUUAGUCAAUAUAACAGCAAAAGCGGCCUCCAUUGGAGAAAAUGGCUGGGCAUUGCCCAUCCUGUAGGAAAAACAGAAGGCAGGGAGCUUAAUACACACUAGACAUCUGCCCUGCAUAGAAUGAAGUCAUACUCCAGAAGACAAGGGCCUGUAUUUGUGCCAUGCAAUCGGACUACCGUGCUCUUUGCAGUCCUUGAGGAGAAACACAGUCUUCUUCCCUGAAAGUGGACCAGCAGGUGAAAGGUGAUGAAAACUCAUGAAGUCUCAGCUGCUUCUCAAAGGGUGGAUUAAUGAGCAGCUAAUUUUUUAAAACACAUUCUUAUACCAUUAUUUUCAGCCAAAUCAGCAAGUAGAUCUAUGUGACCAAACAGGUGCUAGGACAGCAGAAGAGCAGACAGAAAUGCUGGUGGGACAAAAGGGCAGUGCUGCUUCUCUUCUGUUAGGCUGUCCUAGAUUGGCUAAAUUGCUUGUGAAGUCGCAUCUUUGGCAAUUUUUCAGCAAGGAGUCAAAUAGGCAGGUGGCUGGCUAGAUUACAGUCUUUGGGCAUAUCCAGACUUGCAGAGUUAAGAGUAUUUCCAAACGUAAUUCCACAUAUAGUUCUCAGUUUGAUGUUGCCCUGCCUGAUGUUGUCACAACAUGCUGCAGCCAAGGAUAAGCAGAGUUUUGGAACAGGCCAGAUUACUCUACUGAAAAUUUGCUCACAGCUGAAAUCUGAAGAAAUGGAAAGGUUUCCAUUGAAAUGAUGAGUGUUACCAAGCACUGGCUGAUCUGACCCUCUGUAGCAGAAUACACCCCAUUUUGCAAAAACGGAGAUGUAGGCAGUGAAAUUCCAUUGUUAGUAAUUCAGUUUUGUGCAUCUGAAUUUCCCUUUGCUGUUUCAACAGAUUAUAGGAUCUGACUGCAGUUCCAGUCAGGUGCUUUUGUGUAGUGUUGCCAAGUACUGUCAUACUACCACGUUUCAUCAUGUAUGUGGGUGCACUGAAGAAUACACACACAUUUAUAAAGCACCAUAAGAUCUUUCUGGCUGAAGGGCAUUAUAAAAAGAAGGUAAUUAUUCCAACAAUAAAUCCAAAUAUUCUAUAUAAAGCAGAUUUUGGCAUUGUGAAAAGAACAAAAACAUGGAACAAUUUAUAGGUAAGGAGGAAUCCUUUUAUUUUGAGGAUAAUAUUAGUAUAAAGUUAGAAAUUAGUCAUUCUCUAACUCAUUUCUGUGUUACUCAUGCUCUUGGCAAAUUAAUUAUCCAAGAUAAGUCACUCAGAUGCUAAAGUUUUAUUAUUGUUUUAAUCAGAUGGCUAUUGCUGUUACAAAUAAACAUGAGCCUCGAUUUCAGAUAUAACAAAUGUGGCUAUACCCUGAAAAUUAUGCCACAGUGCUGCUUGAGGAUGUGUUACACAUGCCAAAUGUUUUU
ensembl:lncRNA